rnacentral:lncRNA from 1 species
CGUGGUUGGUAAUUCAACUAGGUCUCCUUCUACACUGUACCUCCUACACAAUCUUUGUUGCGUUACACAUGGUUUAUAGAUUGUCCAACUUCCAACACGCCGGGACUCACUUGCAUUUUAGACACCGUUGUAGUCUAAUUUCCCUAGGCCUUCCAUUCCUAGUUAUGCAAGGACUACCGUGGAAUGCUUGUCGAGUUCUACUCCCUCCGUUUCUAAAUAUAAGUCUUUUAAGAUAUUUCACUAA